ensembl:snRNA U2 U2 spliceosomal RNA
AUCGCUUGUCGGCCUUUUGGCUAAGAUCAAGUGUAGUAUCUGUUCUUAUCAGAAGUUACUUUCUGGUUUUGUCCCACAAGUUAUGAUUGUUUAACCUAAUAAUUACAUUACUCAGGUACAGGGCAAGUCUUC